UACGAAGGGGGCUAGCGUUGCUCGGAAUCACUGGGCGUAAAGGGCGCGUAGGCGGCGUUUUAAGUCGGGGGUGAAAGCCUGUGGCUCAACCACAGAAUGGCCUUCGAUACUGGUUGGCUUGAGACCGGAAGAGGACAGCGGAACUGCGAGUGUAGAGGUGAAAUUCGUAGAUAUUCGCAAGAACACCCGUGGCUAAGGCGGCUCUCUAGUACGGUACUGACGCUGAGACGCGAAAGCGUGGGGAGCAAACAGG
rnacentral:rRNA from 1 species